rnacentral:rRNA from 1 species
CAGCCGCCACGGUAAUACCGAGGGUGCGAGCGUUAAUCGGAUUUACUGGGCGUAAAGCGCACGCAGGCGGUCUGUCAAGUCAGAUGUGAAAUCCCCGGGCUUAACCUGGGAACUGCAUUUGAAACUGGCAGACUGGAGUCUUGUAGAGGGGGGUAGAAUUCCAGGUGUAGCGGUGAAAUGCGUAGAGAUCUGGAGGAAUACCGGUGGCGAAGGCGGCCCCCUGGACAAAGACUGACGCUCAGGUGCGAAAGCGUGGGGAGCAAACAGGAUUAGAUACCCCAGUAGUCCCUGUCUCUUAUAC